rnacentral:rRNA from 1 species
CGAACAGACGAGGAGCUUGCUCCUCUGACGUUAGCGGCGGACGGGUGAGUAACACGUGGAUAACCUACCUAUAAGACUGGGAUAACUUCGGGAAACCGGAGCUAAUACCGGAUAAUAUAUUGAACCGCAUGGUUCAAUAGUGAAAGACGGUUUUGCUGUCACUUAUAGAUGGAUCCGCGCCGCAUUAGCUAGUUGGUAAGGUAACGGCUUACCAAGGCAACGAUGCGUAGCCGACCUGAGAGGGUGAUCGGCCACACUGGAACUGAGACACGGUCCAGACUCCUACGGGAGGCAGCAGUAGGGAAUCUUCCGCAAUGGGCGAAAGCCUGACGGAGCAACGCCGCGUGAGUGAUGAAGGUCUUCGGAUCGUAAAACUCUGUUAUUAGGGAAGAACAAAUGUGUAAGUAACUAUGCACGUCUUGACGGUACCUAAUCAGAAAGCCACGGCUAACUAC